UGCCGUUUUGUCGGGGUCGUGGUGAGAGCGAAAGUAUGGCGCCUGGCCUGGACGCCAAGGGGAAAGUACAACGCGUCGUGCGGCCCGUCCUCGCACGGCGUGCAUCGUGCGGCCCGUCGUGGGUAGCCUCGAAUCACAGCAACCACGUCCCUCCCUUGUCCGCCGCCGCACCGCCGUUCUUCUCCUACUCUCUCUCUCUUCUGCGACGUUCCUCCUUCCUAUUGGCACGCCUCGCCCCAUCUUCCAUCCUGACGUUCUUCUUCAACACCCCCUCCUCGGCUAGAUGGCGCCUUUGGUGGUGAAGGAGUAGGGGAGGGCUAAGAGGCCAGCGGUGUGGGGUGGAGCAGCGAGGCCGGCGACCCAGGCGGCGGACGCCUCAUGGGGUGGAGGAGAGGCUGGUGAUAGGGAAGGAGCAGAAUCCUCAUGGAGCGGCAGGGAAGGUGAAGUCCCGACGACUGAAGAUGGUGCGCACGGGAGGAGCUCGGAUGAUGUCAAGGACGUUUAGCAGGCGUGACUUAGGAUCGAACCCUUGAUGGAGUUUAAGCAUGGUCCGGUAUGCACUUCUUGACCUCUUUGUUUCAGUUCAUAUCAAAUCAAUAUUGUUUGCAAUAGGUUGGAGAGGUUAUUUUUGGCGUGGAGGUCUUUUUCAGUUUUUCUAAAGUUACUAUUUUUUUCUCCAGCUCCCUAUUCUUCAUGUUAACUAAGGUGUUAACUUCAAGAUGACAUUGACAAAGCCGUCAACUUGAAGAUGCUUCUUUACAUGUUUGAAUUGAUGUCGGGGCUUAAGGUGAAUUUUCAAAAAAGUGAGAUUCUUACUGUGGGGGUGAUGAAAAUGUGGUGAAUAUGUAUGCGGACCUGUUUAACUGUGAGGUGGGCAGCUUCCCUAUUAAGUACUUGGGGAUGCCUGUUAGCUACACCAAUCUCAGAAACUCAGACUAGGAAUUUAUCAUUAUCAAGUAUCUGAAAAGAUUUGAAGCGUGGAUCGGUAAUGCAGCCUUGAUGGGGGGCGGGGGGGGGGGAUGCUCACCUUGCUAGAUUCGGUAGUCACCCAAAUAUCCUUGUACCAUAUUUCUAUGUGGCUUAUGAACAAAACCUUCAUUGGGCGCCUCGACAAACAUAGACGAAAGUUCUUUUGGCAAGGGUGCAACAAGAAGAGGAGGUAUCAUCUUGUUAGAUGGAACAGGAUCUGCAGAUCCAGAGAUAAAGGUGGUUUGGGGGUUAAGUACCUCCACAAACAGAAUGUUAGUUUGAUGGUCAAAUGGUGGUGGAAACUAGAGACCCAAACGGGGAUGUGGCAAGAUAUUGUUCAUGCACGCUACCUGACAAACAAAUCUUUGGCCUCGGUUAAGCCCAGGUUUUCCGAUUCCCCAUGUUGGAGAGCCUUACUAAAAGUAAAAGAUAUUUACUUAGUUGGCAGGAAGAUCCAUCUAGAAUCUGGUGACCUCGUCAAAAUCUGGAAAGAUUCCAUAAAGGGGCCGAGUCCUUUUUAGACUCUAUAUCCAUUACUCUUUGAGAUAUGUAAUGAUCAGGAUUGCACCGUUGAUAGGUUCAGUUCUGUCGACGUCCAUACCUUUUUCAGGAGGAGGCUCAUGCCUGAGUUAUCAUGUCAAUGGGAAGAAAUGAGUAAUACGAUCAAUAGCAUUCAGCUGAGUCAGGGUGGGGACCGGGUCUACUGGGGGCUUAAUAGUAAUGAUAAAUUCUCUACUAAAUUUGUGUAUAAGUGGCUAGAGAGCCCUCUUAGUGGAUGCCAUUAUAGAUGGAUUUGGAAAGCUAAAAUCCCACUCAAAAUCAAGAUUUUUCUGUGGCAGAUGCAGUGCUCACUAGGCAAGUCAUGAGAAUGAGGAAAUGGCCUGGGAAUCCCACUUGCUCUUUUUGCAAUGAGUUGGAAACCUCCAAACAUCUGUUCUUCACCUGUCCUGUGGCCAGGGUGGUCUGGAGAUGCGUUGGGAUGGUGCUGGGUACUGAAAUGUGCCCGAAUAGCUACUGGCAAUAUUUUGCUUGGUGUCAUGCUUUUGUCCCUGAUGGACAAAAGUACUAUACUGUGGGCCUGGCUGCUGCUUGCUGGGCCAUUUGGCUAGCUCGGAAUCGAGCUACUUUCGAAAAGAAGCUAAUCAAAACGCCCUUUGAAAUAGUUUUCUCCAUGUGUUCUUUUCUGUUGUAUUGGGCAGGGCUGCAGUAGGAGGAAGGUGCCAAGGAGCUGCGACGCGGUGCCGAGAUGAUCAGGUCGAGCAUGAUGCGCUUGAUGGGGAUGUGCAACGAUGCGAGUGUGCCGAUCGGGGGAGAAUAAAUAUGCAAGACGCCCGGUGACUGGAGCUGGGUGACCCUGUGAUCCUGUGUUGGUGUUCUGGUUCUUUUGUGGGUGUCUCAUGUCCUUGCCUGUAGUAGUUCACAUGUAUGCUGUGAUAUUUUGGUGCUGCCCAGGUUUUCACCCCAUUGGCAUUCGUUCCGAUGGCGGGCGAAUGCAGUGGGUUUCCUGGCAGUGCCCGCACUCGCUCUACCUCUUUCCCUCUUCUCCUGACAUGUUUCCAAACCUUUUGUAUUUCCGUUUAUUUGCAAUGGAAAGGGGUAUAGCCCGGUUCGAAAAAAAACCUAAAGUCUUGCCUACCAAAAUUGAAAGGGGUAUAGCCCGGUUCGAAAAAAAACCUAAAGUCUUGCCUACCAAAAUUGUAUCAUUCAUCCCACACAAUGGUUGGAAUCCCAGUCGUUGAAUUACAGUAGACCAGACCAUGUUUCUCGUUUUGUAUAGUCCAAACAAUAAUACAGAUUCAGCCUGGUGAUGAUUUUCAAUAUAUUGUGAUAGUAGUUUCCUGCA